rnacentral:rRNA from 1 species
GAGGCACUGCCUGCCCAGUGACAAACGUUCAACGGCCGCGGUAUCCUGACCGUGCAAAGGUAGCAUAAUCACUUGUUCCUUAAUUGGGGACUGGAAUGAAUGGCCUCACGAGGAUUCAACUGUCUCUUACCUCUAAUCAGUGAAAUUGACCUCCCCGUGAAGAGGCGGGGAUACAACAACAAGACGAGAAGACCCUAUGGAGCUUUAAUUUUCUGUCUUAACUACUAAAUAACUAACCCUACUGGGAUAAAAAAAAGAGAAAUAAGUCAGUAAUUUCGGUUGGGGUGACCUCGGAGAAUAAGACAACCUCCGAAUGAUUUUAACCAAGACAAACAAGUCAAAGUAUUAAAAAUCAAAUUGACCCAAUUCAUUUGAUCAACGGACCAAGUUACCCUAGGGAUAACAGCGCAAUCCUAUUCAAGAGUCCAUAUCGACAAUUAGGGUUUACGACCUCGAUGUUGGAUCAGGACAUCCCAAUGGUGCAGCAGCUAUUAAUGGUUCGUUUGUUCAACGAUUAAAGUCCUACGUGAUCUG